CAAUACAUAAAGUGUAAAGUGCUUCAGAAUCAUUCUUGAUUUUGUUACCGAUAACUUUAAACUUAACUCUUACGGUUUAAUUUUUAUUUGUCAAAUAACUAAUAUGAUGUUGAGCUUUUUGGUUUGACUCAAGUAAUAUUGUUGCUUGCAGAGACAUAAGAGGCUGAAAAGAAUAUUUAUGGUACUUCAUGAAGAAUUGAAGCACCUUAAGCAAAGGAUUAAGGACUUUGCAGUCUCAUACAUGGACUGAAAGAGGGAAUCUCAUCCUCGUCAUUCACUAUAAUUGAAACCUCUUCCUUCAGGCCCGAGGGUGUGACUAGGAAGUUAUAUGUUGAAAACAGCACAACAGAGUCCUCUCUCUCUGAAGAUGAACGCUCAUGUCACAAUGAGAGAGCAUCCGCAGUUUUGCCGUGCCCGCCCAGUUUACCCGUAAAUAGCAUUUAACUCGUAUGUACAUUAGUUUUGUAUUCAGGUCAGGCCUUUUGUUCUUGUUUUGCCUGACCAGUUCAGCCUAUCCAGUUUAUUCGGGCUUCUUGACAUUGUGCUCUUUGUGCAUAUAGUUGUAUAUCAUAACACAGAUGGUAGGAAGAACUCAAAGAGUUGAUCAAAUAAGACUAAAUCAUUGAUACCAUUCAUGCAGAUAUUGCCUUCUGUGAAACUCACCUUUUGUGGAGGGUGAGAUU